rnacentral:piRNA from 2 species
UGAGGGCCUACUAUGUGCCGGGCUAUGU